UACGUAGGGAGCAAGCGUUGUCCGGAAUCAUUGGGCGUAAAGAGCUCGUAGGCGGCUUGGUAAGUCGGAUGUGAAACCUCCAGGCUCAACCUGGAGUCGCCAUCCGAUACUGCCAUAGCUAGAGUCCGGUAGGGGCCCACGGAACUCCUGGUGUAGCGGUGAAAUGCGCAGAUAUCAGGAAGAACACCAAUGGCGAAGGCAGCUCGCUGGGACGUGACUGACGCUGAGACGCGAAAGCGUGGGGAGCAAACAGG
rnacentral:rRNA from 1 species